UACGAAGGGGGCUAGCGUUGCUCGGAAUUACUGGGCGUAAAGCGCACGUAGGCGGCUUUCUAAGUCGGGGGUGAAAUCCUGGAGCUCAACUCCAGAACUGCCUUCGAUACUGGAGAGCUCGAGUCCGGGAGAGGUGAGUGGAACUGCGAGUGUAGAGGUGAAAUUCGUAGAUAUUCGCAAGAACACCAGUGGCGAAGGCGGCUCACUGGCCCGGUACUGACGCUGAGGUGCGCAAAGCGUGGGGAGCAAACAGG
rnacentral:rRNA from 1 species